UUGCAGAAAUAUUUUAGUGUUGCUAUAAAUUGUAUUUGCUGCAUCCAGAGGAAUGAAUGAGCUUCAUGUUUCAGUGCUUUCCUGAAUCCUGCAGU